UACGGAGGGAGCUAGCGUUGUUCGGAUUUACUGGGCGUAAAGCGCACGUAGGCGGGUCUUUAAGUCAGGGGUGAAAUCCUGGAGCUCAACUCCAGAACUGCCUUUGAUACUGAAGAUCUUGAGUUCGGGAGAGGUGAGUGGAACUGCGAGUGUAGAGGUGAAAUUCGUAGAUAUUCGCAAGAACACCAGUGGCGAAGGCGGCUCACUGGCCCGAUACUGACGCUGAGGCACGAAAGCGUGGGGAGCAAACAGGG
rnacentral:rRNA from 1 species